AUUGAACGCUGGCGGCAUGCCUUACACAUGCAAGUCGAACGGCAGCGGACCUUCGGGUGCCGGCGAGUGGCGAACGGGUGAGUAAUAUAUCGGAACGUGCCUUUCAGUGGGGGAUAACGUAGCGAAAGUUACGCUAAUACCGCAUAUUCUCUGAGGAGGAAAGCAGGGGACCUUCGGGCCUCGCGCUGAUAGAGCGGCCGAUAGCAGAUUAGCUAGUUGGUGGGGUAAAGGCCUACCAAGGCGACGAUCUGUAGCGGGUCUGAGAGGAUGAUCCGCCACACUGGGACUGAGACACGGCCCAGACUCCUACGGGAGGCAGCAGUGGGGAAUUUUGGACAAUGGGCGAAAGCCUGAUCCAGCCAUGCCGCGUGAGUGAAGAAGGCCUUCGGGUUGUAAAGCUCUUUCGGCCGGGAAGAAAUCGCACAGGCUAAUACCUUGUGUGGAUGACGGUACCGGAAUAAGAAGCACCGGCUAACUACGUGCCAGCCGCCGCAGUAACAC
rnacentral:rRNA from 1 species